AGAGACAGAAGAAUAGAGUUCCAGACAGUUGUAGAAUGUAUGCCAAGGCACAUUGUAAGAGCUAUAAAGAGAGAGGGGGUGGGAGAGAGAACAGGCAUAACCUGAUAUGUAAAUGAGCAGAGUAAAUGAAACUCACUUUUGACGACCUGAUGAUCAUCCAGACUGUGUUUCUAUUGAGAGAUAAAAGGCUGGUUGAAUGAGUUGUCUAUGAAAGCUACUUCAUCUGUAAGAAAACAGGCGGCUGCACCAGUGACUGGGUCAGUGCUCUAAAAUGAGUCUCUCUGGGGAGAGAGAGGAGGGGGGCCCUGCCUCUAAAAUGAGUCUCUCUGGGGAGAGAGAGGAGGGGGGCCCUGCCUCUAAAAUGCAUCUCUCUGGGGGACAUGACACCAAAGCUAAGAGGUAAGAUCACAAUUUUAUGAAGAAUUUAUUACGUUUAUUUCCAAAAUAAAUUGCUAUCUUAAGAUGAAAGCACUUACUGUAAAUCACAAAUCACUCUGGAUAAGAGCAUCUGCUAAAUCAGGGGUUCUCAAUCCGGGGUCUGUGGAGGUACUGCAGGGGUUCUCAAUCCGGGGUCUGUGGAGGUACUGCAGGGGUUCUCAAUCCGGGGUCUGUGGAGGUACUGCAGGGGUUCCACGGCACCCUGACUGUACUCGUUGUAAUGUACAACUCUUCACACCCGUUUAACAACUCUAAAUAUCUUUGGCAUAGUAGGCAUCAAGUCCCUUGCCAAUAAUGUUGCCUACAACAUUGCAUACAAUGUUCAUUUUCAGCGAACACAUAUUACGCCCUAGACGCCUUCAACUGCCCCAUUUACAGCCAUGUACAAUUUAGGAUUAUUAUUUAACAACAUGAUGUUGCGCUCCAAAGGGAGAACUUGAAAUAACAUGAUGUAGAUAAUUAAAUAAUAACAUGAUGUAGAUAAUUAAAUAAUCAGAAGAAAAACGUGUUUAUUAUUUUACACUCUUAGAACAGAAGGUUCCUUCUAGAACCAAAAAGGCUUCUAUCACUUCCUUAAAAUAGGAAAUCAAUAAAAGUUAUAUAUAUUUUUGGGUUCAGUGAAGAAGAACCUCUAGAGUUCUGAUCAACAAAAGGUUCAUGUUUUGAGGAUGUGAACCCAGCAGCCCUCCAGUGGUCAGAUCAAUUCCACCUGUUUUUUCCAGCGCCCGGCCCGGGAUUCGAACCAGCCACCUUUCAGUCACAGCUCCAACUCCAACCUGAGUUAAUCUUCAGAAAUAAGCAUGAGUUAAUCUGCCAAAAUGAAGACAAAAUGCUAUGCAGUUAUACAUGGUAUCACUUGUUAUACAUAAUUUUUAUACAUAAAUCAUUGCCAAAAGCACAAGACAUACUGUUGCAUGUUGGUCAAUAUUAUUUAUGGAUUGAUCAUAAAGCAACAAAGCAAUUACAUGUGGAACAGGAAGGUGGGACUAGAGACUUCAUGCACAGUUACCCACCCACUUAUACCCAUAAGUAUAAAAUGUCUUUAUUCUCACCACUUAUACGACCAAUGUUCUACUCUGAGACACUUUGUGGGUAUGGACCCAGAGAGAGAAUAGAGUAGAUGUCACGGGUCAAAAUUUUGAUUGAUGACCCUAU